CUGGGAGUCAACCACGCUCUCAGUGCACAUCGGGUUGGGGUCGCGCCAGGGUGUGUGUGUAUGUGUGUCUAUGUGGUAAUUUGGAGAAUAAAUAAUCCAUAGGAUCCACGUGGAAAGCCUUGGCAUGGAGGAUGGAGCCAGGUCCUGCAGGAGGUGUGGGCACUGCUCCUGUGAUGACCUGGCACUGAGGAGCUCCAGUGCCACUACUAGAGAGGUAUACCUCUUCAAAUAUACCUCUUCGCCUCUGAUAUACUUCGCACCAUACCCACCUUAUGUGUAUAGAAAAAUUCAAAGUGUUGGUGAAUAAUCAAACUAUUGUGGAAGGCAGGUGGCAGGUUUGCCAACCACCACAUGAGGAAUCGAAAUAUGUCUGAUUAGUGAUUUAAAAAACAAAAUAAACGAGUCAUUAGACGUUGAUAGUGACA